UUAAGAAGAAACCUGUGCCCCGAUCUUGCCUACUCACCCAAAGGCACUGUGAGAAACACAGGAAAACCACAUUCCCAACACUUCUUUGAAGUCAGUUUGCAGGCCAUGCAACCAAGUUCUGGACAAUGGAAUAUAAAGAAAGUGAAGCAAGUCACUUCCAGUUGGGCCUUUAGAAAAUUCUGUGUGCUACCUCCGUUCCCUUUCCCCCUUCAAAGCUUCCUUGGAAGCACUGAGUUAGAUGGUAAAGUUACAAGAAGGAAGAAGUCACAGAAUCAUCGUUUAAUGGAGAAAACUGUGGAAAGCUGUGAAGUGAUCAACAAAUAAAACAUUAAUGAGCAAAGACACAGGGAUUUAGCAGUUUAUUGCCACAGGAUAGUUUAGAAUAUUCUGAUCAGGAAAUAACUUUAUACAGGAGUGAGGUGCUACACCAUGAAAAAUCUAACUUACAUUGCAAAACAUUAUUUUCAUGUCUCAUAUAGGAAGGCAGCAAUUAUAAAAGGGACUGCAAGUCAAGACAUGUAAGAGACUGACAAAUAUAAAGACAACCUACUGUAAAUUGGGAGGCAGAUGACAUACUUACAAAACAGAGAAUUAAGAAAAAUGAUAGUAUGUAUUUGUAGCCAUUGGUGAAUUUUUAAAUAUAUGAGAAGAAAUAUUAGAGAGACUCCAGAAAUUCAAGGCCUUCCAAGAGUAAGAGAGAAUAUGUCUGACAUAAGAUUUUAUACAAAAUAGGCCAGUAAAAGAAUCUUGGUCUAGUAAAGUGACCCCCAAUGAAAGAUCAAGUUAAUGAUGGCCCUUCUAUCUUUUUUUUUUUCCAGAUAGCAUCAAAGGAACAGCUAGUAAGAGACACAGAGCCAGAAAUCAGGGAAGUAAAAUACACUUGACAUCUACAUUCGGAAAGAAAUUUUAGGAGGCAGAAGCAAAUGGAUCAGAAGCUGCUUAUAUUUUUGCAAGAUUACCAAAGAAACCAUUGGUGGAGAAAGUUCUGUGACCAACUUGUCUGAGUCUAGCUCCGGAAAGCUGCCUAAAGUAGAUGGAGUCUUCUCUGUGUGUGCCCCACUGGUCCUGCAGUUGAAGGAUCCGGUAAAGCAGCCUGCCCUGGGUUUUACACUCCAGAGGAACGUGAUUCGCUGGACUAAAGCAUUGAAGUGCAUCCUGUUUCCGGGGGGCACUGGAACAGAGCCUGGUCUGUUCUAGCCAGUCCCUUUCUAUCUCAGGAUGUUGCAUUCCCAGUACAUUCUACAGUUAUUCUUGAGAACUAUAAUCAAAUAAGCAGGGAGAACUGGGAAAGCAGAGGCUCAUCGUGGAACCCUCAAGGAGCAUGUGGUCGUCUUCAUCCCUCAGUUUAUAAAUGGCCAAGGAGAGUAAUGCAACAAAAACUUCUCAGACUUAAGAGCCAGAGUUCCUAAAGAACCGUGGACAAAGGGUUCUGUCUAGUGGGCAGAAUUCAUCCAGCGAAGGUGCUUACUGCACUCCCAGCAUGUGCUUGGGAACUUUAUUAAAAUUCCUUCCUAUUGAGAUUUAAAUUGCUGUCCAGAAUUAUACAAUAUAAUGAAUGGGGGCAUUCAUUAUGUGUAUUCUAUGCCUUCUCCAUCAUUGCAUAUUCAGUCCUCGUGCUAGAGAGAGGCAGAUAAUCUACCUUUUAAAUUUAUAGGUCUCCUAACUACAGAGGGUCACAUCUGGAUCUGAUGGUACCUACAGAACUUGGACUCUGAGCGACAAUCAGUGACCAGGUGUGACUUUAUAUUAUCUCUGUCAGGGAAGGGUGAGAGUGUUCAGUGUGUGAACAUAGAAUAAAAUGGUCUGGUGACCAAAAGGCUCUAUUAAAGAUAAUAUGAGAUGUUCAAAGCACUGGCUAUUUUCUUGGGAACAAAAGUUGAACUUCUAAAUCUUUCUCACAGAUUGUAGACCAAAGGAAUGAAUUCUGAUUGGCAGAAUAUAAGCCUACGUAAUAUAAAAAAGACUUCCAGGUUUGGCCCUCUGAGUCUUGACUCAUUACACACCAUCUCACAGCCUUAUUUUGCCUUUCAGCAGGAAAUUUGGAACCUAGGUUUUCCCAACCUACAUCUACAAAAUGGAAUGGGUCUGAUUCACAAGUUUUCAGAGAAAGAAGCCAACCUUAAUCAGACUGUGAUAUGAUGAGGAAAUAAAAAUUGCUGUGCUAAUCAACUGAUACUGGGAAGCAUGUUUAUUAUAAUAACAUAGUCUAUGCUUAACUUUUCGAAGAAACUAAUGAUCUGGAAUAUCGAUAAAAAGAAAAAAGAAAGAAAGCAAAAGGACAGAAAGUUUUAGUGAGAAUAUGUCACUAAAAGAAAAAUACAAAAAUCUCCAGGUAAUUGUUCUUGUCUGUCACUAUAAUCAAAGUGGUAUUUCACCCCCCAUCUGUUGUCCCUGCUUUGAUGAGUGAGAAUAGAAGAGCAGUUCCUGGUUACAUGUUGGCAACAGGAGGGUAUAAAUAUCAAAUUGCCUUAAGCACUGGCAAAGGCUUAAGAGUCCAUCCUAAAUUGAGGGAUUAUCCAGUACCCUGUUUAGAAUGGAAAUAAAUCCUUGCACAGUACUUUCAACUCAAUAACUGAAAAAAUGCAGAGAGCAAAUUCAACAAUUUGUAUUACCAACAGCCAGCUGAGUCCAACUUUCUAAAUCCAUUGGAAAACAGAAAAGCAGAAAAGCAGAAAAACAGGCAUCAGUAACUGUCCUAAAAAGUGAAGGACUCAGGAGGCUGAGGCAGCAGAAUCACUUGAACCCAGGAGGCAGAGGUUGCAGUGAGCCGAGAUGGUGCCACUGCACUCCAGCCUCGGCGACAGAGCGAGACCGUCUCAAAAAUAAAAAAAAAAAAAAAAUGUGAAGGACUGAGGGAAAGAAACAGAAUAGACCAUAAUGAGUCAGAUGCGAGAUAAGAGAAACAGGGCCCGGAACAUAUGCCCUCAGAUAGAAUAAGAACAAUAUCAAAGAUGAAAAUCCAAGAAAACACCUUGAGGAAAAUAAGAUGAUAGUAAUACUAAAUAUAUAUGUUAAAGGACUAAUUUUAAUGAGAUACCUUCACAUAGGUAGGAAGAAAAAUAAAUUCAAUGUGCAGAUAUUCCUUAUGUAUAUACCAAUGAAAGUAAAGAGACAGAUAAAAUAAGUCAGGCAAAUGCUAACAUAAGAAAAUAGAGUCACAUUAUUUAUUUUGUAAUUUGAUAUCUGAAUAUUAAAAACUUACACCUUCAAAGUGCAGAUAUAACUCCCAUGAAUGUUGACACACUAAGUAACAGUAAAAUACAUUAAGCCAAUUAGAACUGUAAGAAAAAGGAAAGCAACACAGAAUAAAAACAAGACUCAGUAGGUGAUCUUUAUCUAGAAUCAGAACAAUUAAAAUAAAAUAAUGACUGGAGAAAAACUGAAGUAAGUACUAUGUUUAAUGCCUGUAAGCAAAUAUACGUAUUUUGAAUUGUGACAUGAUUAAAAAAGAACAUAUGAUUUUCAAGUGUUCAUAUAACACAUUGAAAAAUUAAGCAUAAACUCCCCGAAAUUCUUAUACCUAAAUGUCAUAAAAUAAGUACCAAUCAUACCAACUACUUUUCUGAACAUAAUGCAGUGAGAUCUAUAAAACAACUGAUAUUUUGUGGCUGUUGUUUACCGCAUCAAAAGAAGACUAAUAAAGCAAUGUAUUUACCCUGUGAAUGUAUAUGUUCAAAUAAUUUAUAUAGACUGUACACAUAAUAUUCUUUUAAUUUUCUUUAUAUUUCUUCUUAUAUAUCCAUUUUCUAAAAUAGUGAGUUAUGCUUUUAUUCACUAGAUUUUUUUCUGUUUAAAUUUGUUUAGGUAUUAUAUUUGAUAUUUUAUUAAUUUCUGUAUUGAUGUUUAUCAUUUACUUCUUCCAGUUUUCAAAUAUUUUAUGAUUAAAAUUAUAGAUCAUUGUUUUAAGACCAUCUUAUGUAAAUAGCAAAGGUUUGAUUUGUAAUGAUUUUAUAAAUAUACAUAUUUUAAUAUAAUCAAAUUGUUAAUAUGCUGGUCUACACAUUUGCCUUUAGUUUCCAUUUUUACCCAAGAUACGCUAGACAAAUAUUUUCAUGUUAUUCUAAAGAUUAGAAUUUUUAUUUUGCUGUCAAUAGCUCUUUAAUAUCUUUCAUAUGUUCUAUCUACCUAUAUCUCUGUGUGAUCUUUGUUAAACCCAUAUUCUGAGGUUUAGAUUUCCCAACCACCCAAUACUGGUGGAAAUUCUGAUAGUUUUUGAAACCAUGUCUCAAGACUUGUCCCAUGGAAAAUAAAGGAAAUCUCUAUUCUGUCAUUGGCUGGGAACUGCUCUAGGGUGUUUACAUCCCUGGCAAUUUUUAUUUUUCUCAUGUUGAGCCUGAAAGAAAGUCACCGAUCAUGAAAUGCGAGCAUGGACAGGGACAAUUAGUCCAAAGGGAAAAAUUAGAGACACUGACUGUUCCAUUAUACGUAACUAUAUACCUAGUCACUCAAUAUAAUGAAGAGUUUCAUAAUUAGUCAAAAUGAAAUUGAACCAUAUUAAUUCUACAUGGAACAAUUCAAAAUGAAUUUAGUCUGGGUAUAGAUGGUAAAGAGAAAAAGUGAAUUUAAUUAGAACACAAUUUCAAUCAAAUUAAGUCUUUGCAUGAGUUAUCAAGGACACAAUAAAUAACUGAACAAUUCCAAAGAGUUACUUUCAUAGUAAUUUCAAAUAAUGCUCUAAUUAUCUCGAA
rnacentral:lncRNA from 1 species